GCUGUUUGUGUGUGAAAGACGAGCUGCAGUACCGCCUCCACUCAGACAGAGGGCGCCAGAGACUGAUCAGGCAAACCAGGGAUCAGAAAAGUGUACUUCAGACCAGGUAUCAUGAUCAGGAUUGAGACCACUGAUAGCAAUCUGUGGGAAGACGAGGCACAAAAAGGGUUAGACUGACGGCAUCACUGAACGGUCUGGCAUGAAAACUCACGGUUAAGUGCGAGAAACAAGCACAGAUGAAAGUGAUGCCCAGUGUCAGAUGACCCAUGGGCCGGUGGUUGAGGACUGCUGACUUAAAUCCCCUUUCUUUCAUAUCCUGAUGCUUGGUUUGAACUUCAGCAGGUCAUCUUGACCAUGUCUGCAUGGCUAAAUGCAUUAAGCUGCUGCCAUGUGAUUGGCUCAUAAGACAUUUGCGUUAUUGUGCAGUUCAACCUGUUU